GACGAACGCUGGCGGCGUGCUUAACACAUGCAAGUCGAGCGGUAAGGGCCCUUUCGGGGGUACGACGAGCGGCGAACGGGUGAGUAACACGUGGGUGACCUGCCCUCAGCUCUGGGAUAAGACCUGGGAAACCGGGUCUAAUACUGGAUAUGACUCCAUGACGCAUGUUGGUGGGGUGGAAAGCCUUGUGCGGCUGAGGAUGGGCCCGCGG
rnacentral:rRNA from 1 species